rnacentral:rRNA from 1 species
AAAUUGAAGAGUUUGAUCAUGGCUCAGAUUGAACGCUGGCGGCAGGCCUAACACAUGCAAGUCGAACGGUAACAGGAAGCAGCUUGCUGCUUCGCUGACGAGUGGCGGACGGGUGAGUAAUGUCUGGGAAACUGCCUGAUGGAGGGGGAUAACUACUGGAAACGGUGGCUAAUACCGCAUAACGUCGCAAGACCAAAGAGGGGGACCUUCGGGCCUCUUGCCAUCAGAUGUGCCCAGAUGGGAUUAGCUWGUUGGUGAGGUAACGGCUCACCAAGGCGACGAUCCCUAGCUGGUCUGAGAGGAUGACCAGCCACACUGGAACUGAGACACGGUCCAGACUCCUACGGGAGGCAGCAGUGGGGAAUAUUGCACAAUGGGCGCAAGCCUGAUGCAGCCAUGCCGCGUGUAUGAAGAAGGCCUUCGGGUUGUAAAGUACUUUCAGCGGGGAGGAAGGUGUUGUGGUUAAUAACCGCAGCAAUUGACGUUACCCGCAGAAGAAGCACCGGCUAACUCCGUGCCAGCAGCCGCGGUAAUACGGAGGGUGCAAGCGUUAAUCGGAAUUACUGGGCGUAAAGCGCACGCAGGCGGUCUGUCAAGUCGGAUGUGAAAUCCCCGGGCUCAACCUGGGAACUGCAUUCGAAACUGGCAGGCUUGAGUCUUGUAGAGGGGGGUAGAAUUCCAGGUGUAGCGGUGAAAUGCGUAGAGAUCUGGAGGAAUACCGGUGGCGAAGGCGGCCCCCUGGACAAAGACUGACGCUCAGGUGCGAAAGCGUGGGGAGCAAACAGGAUUAGAUACCCUGGUAGUCCACGCCGUAAACGAUGUCUACUUGGAGGUUGUGCCCUUGAGGCGUGGCUUCCGGAGCUAACGCGUUAAGUAGACCGCCUGGGGAGUACGGCCGCAAGGUUAAAACUCAAAUGAAUUGACGGGGGCCCGCACAAGCGGUGGAGCAUGUGGUUUAAUUCGAUGCAACGCGAAGAACCUUACCUGGUCUUGACAUCCACAGAACUUUCCAGAGAUGGACUGGUGCCUUCGGGAACUGUGAGACAGGUGCUGCAUGGCUGUCGUCAGCUCGUGUUGUGAAAUGUUGGGUUAAGUCCCGCAACGAGCGCAACCCUUAUCCUUUGUUGCCAGCGGUUAGGCCGGGAACUCAAAGGAGACUGCCAGUGAUAAACUGGAGGAAGGUGGGGAUGACGUCAAGUCAUCAUGGCCCUUACGACCAGGGCUACACACGUGCUACAAUGGCGCAUACAAAGAGAAGCGACCUCGCGAGAGCAAGCGGACCUCAUAAAGUGCGUCGUAGUCCGGAUUGGAGUCUGCAACUCGACUCCAUGAAGUCGGAAUCGCUAGUAAUCGUGGAUCAGAAUGCCACGGUGAAUACGUUCCCGGGCCUUGUACACACCGCCCGUCACACCAUGGGAGUGGGUUGCAAAAGAAGUAGGUAGCUUAACCUUCGGGAGGGCGCUUACCACUUUGUGAUUCAUGACUGGGGUGAAGUCGUAACAAGGUAACCGUAGGGGAACCUGCGGUUGGAUCACCUCCUUACCUUAAAGAA